GACGAACGCUGGCGGCGUGCUUAACACAUGCAAGUCGAACGGUGAAGGGACCAGCUUGCUGGUUCUGGAUGAGUGGCGAACGGGUGAGUAACACGUGAGUAACCUGCCCCCUUCUUCUGGAUAACCGCAUGAAAGUGUGGCUAAUACGGGAUAUUCUGGGUCUGUCGCAUGGCGGGCCCGGGAAAGAUAUUGCUUCGGUGGGGGAUGGGCUCGCGGCCUAUCAGCUUGUUGGUGGGGUGAUGGCCUACCAAGGCGGUGACGGGUAGCCGGCCUGAGAGGGUGGACGGUCACACUGGGACUGGGACACGGCCCAGACUGCUACGGGAGGCAGCAGUGGGGAAUAUUGCACAAUGGGCGCAAGCCUGAUGCAGCGACGCCGCGUGAGGGAUGGAGGCCUUCGGGUUGUAAACCUCUUUCGCCAGUGAAGCAGGCCUGCUCCUUGUGGGUGGGUUGACGGUAGCUGGAUAAGAAGCGCCGGCUAACUACGUG
rnacentral:rRNA from 1 species